rnacentral:ncRNA from 1 species
CCUCCAAAGAUUCCCUCAGGAUAGCUGGUACUCAUCCGUCUAUCCAGUAAAACAAAUAAUUAGAGGUCUUGGGGCCAAAACAAUCUCAACCUAUUCUCAAACUUUAAAUGGGUAAGAAGCUCAGCUCGCUGGCCUGGAGCCACCCAGUGGACCACUUUUGGUAAACAGAACUGGUGCUGUGGGAUAAACCAAAUGCUGAUGCUCAUCUGGUGUUGGUUGAUAUAGAGAGCAGGAUGGUGGCCAUGGAAGUUGGAAUCCACCAAGGAGUGUGUAACAACUCCCCUGCUGAGUCAUCUAGUCCUGAAAAUGGAUGGGACUGGAGCACUAGGCCCAUACCCGGCUGUUAUGGGUGAUGUAACAGCCCGUAACAGGUGAUGUGGACCUUGGGUGCUACGCCAUGACAAGUAGGAAG